CUCAAAGAGGAUGGAAACCCAGAGAGGGGAGGAUAGAGAUGAGGCAGAGACUAGGGGAAGCAGGAUAGCGACUGGUCAGGGGCAGAGACUCAGGGAGGAUAGAGACUCACAGAGAGGUGAGGAUAGAGACUUGGGAGGGACUCAGGAAGCAUAGCGACUGUGGGGCAGAGAGUCAGAGAGGGGAGGAUACAGACUUGGGAGGGCAGAGACUCAGAAACAGAAUGUUCCCAUUAGGAACAUGGUGUUGCGGGGAGCUGCCUCCCCCAGCCCCUGCUCCCUCCCUCACCGCCAGACUAUGAUGAGAGAAGCCACCUGCAUGACACCUUCACCCAGAUGACCCAUGCCCUGCAGGAGCUGGCUGCUGCCCAGGGAUCCUUUGAGGUUGCCUUCCCUGAUGCCGCGGAGAAAAUGAAGAAGGUCAUUACACAGCUUAAAGAAGGUAAAAUACACUCCAUCUCUCCUUCCCCAGACACACACACAC
rnacentral:sRNA from 1 species